rnacentral:rRNA from 1 species
ACGAACGCUGGCGGCGUGCCUAAUACAUGCAAGUAGAACGCUGAAGAGAGGAGCUUGCUCUUCUUGGAUGAGUUGCGAACGGGUGAGUAACGCGUAGGUAACCUGCCUUGUAGCGGGGGAUAACUAUUGGAAACGAUAGCUAAUACCGCAUAACAAUGGAUGACACAUGUCAUUUAUUUGAAAGGGGCAAUUGCUCCACUACAAGAUGGACCUGCGUUGUAUUAGCUAGUAGGUGAGGUAACGGCUCACCUAGGCGACGAUACAUAGCCGACCUGAGAGGGUGAUCGGCCACACUGGGACUGAGACACGGCCCAGACUCCUACGGGAGGCAGCAGCAGGGAAUCUUCGGCAAUAGGGGCAACCCUGACCGAGCAACGCCGCGUGAGUGAAGAAGGUUUUCGGAUCGUAAAGCUCUGUUGUAAGUCAAGAACGAGUGUGAGAGUGGAAAGUUUACACUGUGACGGUAGCUUACCAGAAAGGGACGGCUAACUACGUG